GGAGAUGUAGCUUAGAUGGUAGGCGCUCGCUUAGCAUGCGAGAGGUAUGAGGAUCAAUACCCCCACUUCUUCA
rnacentral:tRNA from 1 species